AGCGAACGCUGGCGGCAGGCCUAACACAUGCAAGUCGAACGAAGUCUUCGGACUUAGUGGCGGACGGGUGAGUAACACGUGGGAACGUACCUUUUGGUUCGGAACAACUCGGGGAAACUUGAGCUAAUACCGGAUGAGCCCUUAGGGGGAAAGAUUUAUCGCCGAAAGAGCGGCCCGCGUUAGGUUAGCUAGUUGGUGAGGUAAAGGCUCACCAAGGCUACGAUCUAUAGCUGGUCUGAGAGGAUGAUCAGCCACACUGGGACUGAGACACGGCCCAGACUCCUACGGGAGGCAGCAGUGGGGAAUCUUGCGCAAUGGGCGAAAGCCUGACGCAGCCAUGCCGCGUGAAUGAUGAAGGUCUUAGGAUUGUAAAAUUCUUUUACCAGGGACGAUAAUGACGGUACCUGGAGAAAAAGCCCCGGCUAACUUCGUGCCAGCCGCCGCAGUAAAAC
rnacentral:rRNA from 1 species